UGUCUCUGAGUCUGCAGUGAAAAAGAGGUUGCACAGCUGAAGUGGAAUGUCUUUAAUUAGGACCAGAGAGCACAGAAGAAUAUAAAAUGAAUAUGAAGCCUCAACCUCCUGUCUUACCAUAGGAGUGGAGCUGCUCAUUGUUCAGCUGAGGCGGUGUAAGCCCAUGUCGAAAUGGCUCUCCGCCAUAGAUGUUGGGGUCCAGGGCGAGUAGCUGCUGACGUGGCAGAGAGGGAUACCCCAGUAUCCCAUCCAUGCCAUGGCUGCUCUUGUUCCUGCUGCUGCUGCUGCUGCUGCUGCUGUCGGCGAGCUAUCUUUUUCAUCUGAUGCACAAAAACACACACAGUGUGUAUGCAUUUUCUCUGUGUGUUGAUGUGUGACACAGAACUUGUCCUAAAAUGCAUGAAGUCUAACCUUGGCUCUCUGGUUCUGAAACCACACCUGCACAACGCGCACUGUCAGCCCAGUCUCUGCAGCCAGUGUCUCUCUCACCUACAGGCUUAGCGGACACUUCAAAGGAGGCCUUGAAAGCACGCCGCUGCUGUGUGGUCAAGAUGGUGCGUGGACGUUUUGAACGCUUGUGCUCCUUGCCUUCAUCACCACCUUUCCCCCCGCCAGAGCCUCCUCCACCAUCCUCAUCCUCACUUUUCACUAAGCAAGAUGUCAGGUACAGUGGGAGAGUCUGUGCUGCUGGAUGCCGUCUGACACUUUUCAAAACAAUGAUAACAAGCUUCAGGCUCGUCCUUCAGCUGUCUACCUCUGGAGCUCCCACUGCAUGCACACCCACUGACCGCAUCACACACACCAAACAACCAAAACACACACACACACACACACACAUACACACACACACACCAUAUGGCCUCAAAAAUGACCAUAGAGUUGACUCAUCAAAUCAGAAACAUUAAUUAAGUAUUAACAAUGCAAUAUAUUAUGUCCAGACGGUGUAGAGCGUGGAAUUGCAGCAUUAAGUGCUGUUAAUUCACCAGAGACUGUGAACAUAAACACUUUGAGAAUGGUCCUAUUAAUCCAAAUCCAUAAUUAUAACCAUAUAAGCAGACAAAUAAAUCUGCACCAGUCAACUACAAAAAAAUUGUCAUUAAGAAUUAUUAUAAUUCUUAGCAGGGGGAAAUGGGAUCGUAUAU